rnacentral:lncRNA from 1 species
ACUCCAAUCUUCUUAAUCAACACUACUAAUUGUUUGUGGCACCAUAUAGUUAUGGGCUUAUUCUUCUAAUAGCACUAAGACAAGACUUAAGUCCAAAUGAGUUAUACUUGACUAUAUGGGUUUAAAUAACUCAAACUAAAAUAAAAUAAUCCAAAAUACUUAAAACAACUCAACUAAUCCAGCCCAUACACAAGGCUUAUUCACCCAUUACCAAUAAGACUCAAACAAGCCCAAAUUAUCCCAAAUCAUUUAAACACAAUUAAAGUUACAAAUUUGGGCUGUUCAAAAAGCUCAUAUUUGAGCUUUCCAUAAUUGGCCAGCCCAUCAUCCACAUGUUUUUGAGUGAAAACUUGGAGUAA